CAAUAGCGUAUAUUAAAGUUGUUGCAGUUAAAAAGCUCGUAGUUGGAUUUCUGGGAGGGUGCCAAUGUCCGUCAACGUGCGUGUGCAGCGGCGCCCUUCCAUCCUUCUGUUAACGCCUCUGGGCAUUUAUUUGCUGGUGGCGGGCUCAGAUAUUUUACCUUGAGAAAAUUAGAGUGUUUCAGGCAGGCUAGGCCGGAAUACAUUAGCAUGGAAUAAUGGAAUAGGACUACGGUCGUCUUUGUUGGUUUGUAGGGACGUGCAGUAAUGAUUAAUAGGGAUAGUUGGGGGCAUUAGUAUUUAAUUGUCAGAGGUGGAAUUCUCGGA
rnacentral:rRNA from 1 species